rnacentral:rRNA from 1 species
AUUGAACGCUGGCGGCAUGCUUUACACAUGCAAGUCGAACGGUAACAGGCCGCAAGGUGCUGACGAGUGGCGCACGGGUGAGUAAUGCAUCGGAACGUGCCCAGUCGUGGGGGAUAACGCAGCGAAAGCUGUGCUAAUACCGAAUACGACCUAUGGAUGAAAGCGGGGGACCGUAAGGCCUCGCGCGAUUGGAGCGGCCGAUGUCAGAUUAGGUAUUUGGUGGGGUAAAGGCUCACCAAGACAACGAUCUGUAGCUGGGCUGAGAGGCCGAACGGCCACAAUGGGACGGAGACACGGCCCAGACUCCUACGGGAGGCAGCAGUGGGGAAUGUUGGAAAAUGGGCGCAAGCCUGAUCCAGCAAUGCCGCGUGUAGGAAGAAGGGCUUCGGUUUGUAAACUGCUUUUGUACGGAACGAAAAGACUCGCUCUAAUCCGGUGGGUACAUGACGGUAUCGUAAGAAUAAGCACCGGCUAACUACGUGCCAGCCGCCGCCGAAA